UGCUUCUGUAGGUGAACCUGCGGAAGGAUCAUUA
rnacentral:rRNA from 1 species